GUGUGAAGCUCCGGCCCGGGAGGCGCGGGCUGCCGGAACCGGGCUCAGGGCAAGCCCGGGACGCAGGGAGGGGAGGGCACAGGGGGGCGGACCGGGUCACUCGGAGACUUACCUGGUCAUGUUGGCUCCGGGCAGCCUCCGCCACCGCCUCCCGCGCCGCCACCAGCACUUUUCCCCAGCGCCUUCGCGCCCCGCCACUGCCGCGCAGCCCGCGCCUGCCCAAGCCGCCGCCUCUGGGCGGCCAAUUUAAUCCCGCGGAGCUGCGGCCACCGCCGCGGGAGUCCCCCCCAGUCGCUGCCGCCGCCCGGGCCCUAGAACGGCCAGCCCAGUCCAGAGCGAGGAAGUGGAGGAGAGUCAGCGACUGACAUGAUCACAGCAUUGGAAGCUGCUACAAAUGAGGCCACGAUAAGAGUGAACACUUUACCAAUGGCAAGGACUCCAACAUGUAGGAAAAAGAUUGAAUUUACCACAAACUGAUUUUUACCUUGGCGCAGCCGAAAAAGAAACAGCUCAACAAAAUUCAAAUUUUGGUGUGAAACUUCUCCAACACAGAAUAGACAGAAUGGCCCAAAAGCACUGUUCGGAGUCCUAAGGAAAUAAGGAUCUUUGGCAGUGAUUCAGGCUGGCCCCGUGGUCCUGAGUUGUCACUGGGAAGAAAUGCAUCCUCUGUAAGAUGGCAACCUGUGGAAAUCAGCAGCAGCACAAUCGAUCAACAGCUAGGGCCAAAAGCUCUUGCUUCUGUUUCUCCGACAGAACAAACCACUGUAAAGUUGGCUCACAGCCCCAACAAAAUCUGAAAAGUUUAUAACAAGUGGUACCACCUGUGCUUAUGUCUCAGCCUAGCCAAAAUAAUUUCCUCUUCUGGGUCUUCUAACUGUGGUGCAGGGUGAGGAAUGUGACAGAGUCCGUGAAGAGGAGGAAGGUUCCAACAUGGAGCCUACAGAGUGAGUGGAUUGGCAUCAUUUGUGCUAGCACAGAGAUCAGCGAAUCUUUCUCCUAUACU
rnacentral:lncRNA from 1 species